rnacentral:rRNA from 1 species
AACGAACGCUGGCGGCAUGCCUAACACAUGCAAGUCGAACGACACCUUCGGGACUAGUGGCGCACGGGUGCGUAACGCGUGGGAACCUGCCCUUAGGUUCGGAAUAACUCCCCGAAAGGGGUGCUAAUACCGGAUAAUGUCUUCGGACCAAAGAUUGAUCGCCUUUGGAUGGGCCCGCGUUGGAUUAGCUAGUUGGUAGGGUAAAAGCCUACCAAGGCGACGAUACAUAGCUGGUCUGAGAGGAAGAUCAGCCACACUGGGACUGAGACACGGCCCAGAAUCCUAGGGGAGGGGGCAGAGGGGAAUAUUGGACAAUGGGCGGAGGCCUGAUCCAGCAAGGCCGGGUAAGUGAUGAAGUCCGUAGGGUUGUGAAGCUCUUUUACCCGGGAUGAUAAUGACAGUACCGAGAGAAUAAGCACCGGCUAACUCCGUG